rnacentral:rRNA from 1 species
GAUGAACGCUGGCGGCGUGCCUAAUACAUGCAAGUCGAGCGAACAGACGAGGAGCUUGCUCCUCUGACGUUAGCGGCGGACGGGUGAGUAACACGUGGAUAACCUACCUAUAAGACUGGGAUACCUUCGGGAAACCGUAGCUAAUACCGGAUAAUAUAUUGAACCGCAUGGUUCAAUAGUUAAAGACGGUUUUGCUUUCACUUAUAGAUGGCUCCGCGCCGCAUUAGCUAGUUGGUAAGGUAACGGCUUACCAAGGCAACGAUGCGUAUCCGACCUGAGAGGGUGAUCGGACACAUUGGAACAGAGACACGGUCCAGACACCUACGGGAGGAAGCAGUAGGGAAUCUUACGCAAGGGGCGAAAGCCUGACGGAGCAAAGCCGCGUGAGUGAUGAAGGUCUUCGGAUCGUAAAACUCUGUUAUUAGGGAAGAACAAAUGUGUAAGUAACUAUGCACGUCUUGACGGUACCGAAUCAGAAAGCCACGGCUAACUACGUG